rnacentral:lncRNA from 1 species
AAUAAGCAUCCAUCAAUUUCAUAAAUCAUGGAGGUCGAAAUCUAACCUUGCUGGAGAAACAGAAGUGGAUUCGUGCAGUUCAAGUCCUAGAAAGGUGAAACAGAUCAUCUACAAUGCUUGGACAGAUGAAUGGAUGAUGAAGAACAGCUCAACAAUGCUCGAUCUCUCUGGAAACUUCAACUGCCAUGGAAGAGUGCAAUGUUCAACAGCUUCGAUUCUUCAAGAAUUCUCCAAGAUCCAGCUCCAAUAAUCUUCAACAAUGC